UCUGUGUGUGUAUACAUAUAAACAUAUGUGUAUAUUAUAUAUGUGUGUCUGUAUGUAUGUACAGUAUGCCUAUAUAUUGUCUUUCUGCAUAUAAGUAUGUGAAUACAUACUUAUGUAGGUAUGUGUAUGUAUAUAAGCAUGCAUGUGCACUUGUGAAAUUGAUGAAACAGGUGCUCAGGCUCAGCCAGUGUGUGUGUGUGUGUGUGUGUGUGUGCGUGUGCACACGCGAGUGUGCUUGACUUUCUUUUUUUUUUUACUUUCUCUGUGAAAUUGCCAAAAGUCAUCAGCUUUUGUCCCCAGAACAGUGAGUUAGAUUCUACCUGAGUGAGAUCAUACUUAUCUUUCUGAUUUAUUCCCCUUAGCAUAAAUCCUCUGGAUCUAUCAUAUUGUGACAAAUGACAGUAUUUCCUACUUCUAAAAUUCUGGAUCAAAGAAGGAACCAAAGGCAUCAUGAACUCCAGACAAGCGCUCCCAUUGGCUCCCAGCCCUGAAUAUUUUCUUAUUCAAAGAGAAUAAGACAACAAAACUAAGGCAACGUUGGCCUCAGAGCUUUUUAAUUUCACUUACUGAACUCUGAUUAUAUCCUGAAAUUGAAGGUUUGCUCCAAACUAAUUCACACACCUUUGAUGUUUCACACACUUUUGUAAUUAAAUAAAUCAUGACUAAAACAAGAUCUUUUUCUCCCAAUAGAAAAACAGAGUGGGCAAUAUCUGUGGCUCUCAGGGCCACCCCCACUAGCCCUGGUGUUCUCAUCUGUCCUGGAGAUGCUAAGAGAGGGAACUUAGCAUCUUCAAACUCACUAUUCCAAAUUCAAAUCAAUAUUCUUUGAAGAAGAAAACAUCAACCAGCAGGAGAUGAUCGCUACACUGUGGCAAAGGCUAUCUGCUCACUUGGCUUGUUGGGGGAGCCACUUAAAGAAUCCUCAGCAUCAGAAGGGCAUUUACACCAGAAAAACAAGAUGCAUCCUUUGGAAAAAGCAGGAGUCCACUGCUGCUGUCACAGCUCCCCAAGCACUCUUCAAGAAGCACUUUGUUCAUGCUUAGGGACACUCAGAUGUCUCAUGGUACCCAUGGGCUCUAAACUUGAUGAAACUAUGAGGAUCCUGAGGCCAUUGUAAAGUCACCCAUAAGCCCUGGAUGAGAAAUGCAUGAUAAGGGGGCUGGCGAGAUGGCUCAGCGGUUAAGAGCACUGACUGCUCUUCCGAAGGUCCCGAGUUCAAAUCCCAGCAACCACACGGUGGCUCACAACCAUCUGUAAUGAGAUCUGACGCCC
rnacentral:lncRNA from 1 species